CGGUACUCNCAGGCGGGGCACUUAAUGCGUUAGUACGGCGCGGAAAACGUGGAAUGUCCCCCACACCUAGUGCCCAACGUUUACGGCAUGGACUACCAGGGUAUCUAAUCCUGUUCGCUCCCCAUGCUUUCGCUCCUCAGCGUCAGUAACAGCCCAGAGACCUGCCUUCGCCAUCGGUGUUCCUCCUGAUAUCUGCGCAUUCCACCGCUACACCAGGAAUUCCAGUCUCCCCUACUGCACUCUAGUCUGCCCGUACCCACUGCACACCCGGGGUUAAGCCCCGGGCUUUCACAGCAGACGCGACAAACCGCCUACGAGCUCUUUACGCCCAAUAAUUCCGGACAACGCUUGCGCCCUACGUAUUACCGCGGCUGCUGGCACGUAGUUAGCCGGCGCUUCUUCUGCAGGUACCGUCACUUGUGGCUUCUUCCCUGCUGAAAGAGGUUUACAACCCGAAGCCGUCAUCCCUCACGCGGCGUCGCUGCAUCAGGCUUUCGCCCAUUGUGCAAUAUUCCCCACUGCUGCCUCCCGUAGAGUCUGGGCCGUGUCUCAGUCCCAGUGUGGCCGGUCACCCUCUCAGGCCGGCUACCCGUCGUCGCCUUGGUGAGCCAUUACCUCACCAACAAGCUGAUAGGCCGUGAGCCCAUCCAAGACCAGUAAACCCUUUCCACACACCACCAUGCGGUGACAUGUAGCAUCCAGUAUUAGACCCAGUUUCCCGGGCUUAUCCCAGAGUCAAGGGCAGGUUACUCACGUAUUACUCACCCGUUCGCCACUCAUCCACACCAGCAAGCUGGUGCUUCAGCGUUCGACUUGCAUGUGUUAAGCACGC
rnacentral:rRNA from 1 species